rnacentral:lncRNA from 1 species
UACAACUUCACAUCUCUACCAAAAACAAAAACACUCUCUCUUUCCUUAUACCUUGAAAGAAAAACAAUGGCCCUUGAAGCUCUCAACUCUCCGACCACCCCCACGCCGCCGUCCUUCAAAUUCAACACCAACUACCUUGAGCCGUGGUCCAAGGGCAAGCGAUCCAAGCGCUCCCGCAGCCAUGAUCAGCCGCCCACGGAGGAAGAGUAUCUUGCUCUCUGUCUCAUCAUGCUCGCUCGAGGUGGCGCCGCCACCUCCACCUCCGCGUCGCCACCGCAGCCGCAGCCGCAAUCCCGCCUUCCGACGGAAUCUUCUAAGCUGGUUUACAAGUGCUCGGUUUGUAGCAAAGCGUUUGGAUCCUACCAAGCCUUGGGCGGCCACAAGGCCAGCCACCGCAAGCUCAACUCCGGCACCGGCGGAGACGAGCACUCCACCACCUCCGCCUCCGUGGUGACCUCGACGACGACCUCCGGCAGCGGGAGAGUCCACGAGUGCUCCAUCUGCCACAAGUGCUUCCCCAC